CAGUUUAGAGCUUGAAUAAGCAUCUUAUUUACAUUAAGAAGAUAAUUAAAAAUUUAAAUUGA
rnacentral:tRNA from 1 species